AGCUGUUGAUAACUCCAUUGCUUAUUGCUAGAAUCAAUAUCAUUAAUAACAUACACGGAAUUUAUUACGAAAACAAUCUGAAGGUGGCGAAGGGCUUUUCUUUUGAAAUUUCAGUCACAGAUCUGUGUCAGUUACGGAGAACAAGGACAGUCCAAGCUGGGGCCUUUUGUGAUGCUUUUGAAAGAUUCGUUGCACCCUCUCACAUCAUGCUGACCAAAGUCCCAGGUACCUGGGCCCACAAGGCGCCUCAAGGAGCAGCAAAAGCCCGGGCCAUCCGUGUCCCCACGCGCGCUGUGAGGACUUGGAGAUUUUCAGAGGCCGCCUGAAUGUACCGCCUUCACCUUGACGGCGUGACGCGGAGUGUGCAGUUCCCUCGUUUGCUUAACACUGUAGUUCACCCAGGAAAUACGCACCCGUUCGUGCCAACGUGUUUCGUGAAAAACUAAAACCCCAUCCUUCCGCAUCUUUCUGCUCACAAGAAUGAUACUCCAAGGGAGCCUGCAUCCUGGACCUGGGAAAAGAAAGGCUUUCCUUUGAGGAAGCUGUGCUGGCAAAUAUCAGGACGUCUUAAUGGGAGCAGUCCACACACGAAUUCGUCCACAAAGGCAAUUGCUUUUGUCAGAAAUCUGUUUGCUAGCCAUUUUGGGGAAAGACCUUGGAAGAGUCAAUCCAAACUCAUCAUCCUCUUUUUCUUCCUGCAGGCUGGGUUUGAUGUAGCCUAGGUUAGUCUUAAGCUUUUCCAGACGGCAUCUGAUGUAGCCCAGGAUAGGCUUGAGCUGUGUAUGUGGUUGAACUAUGGUCUAUGACCUGGAACUACUGCUCUUCCCACGUCCACCUUCUGACUGCUGUAAUUACGGGUGUGUACCAUUAUACCCAGUGUACACAACUCUAGGAAUUUCACCAAGUCUCACCCCUGCUAGGCAAAAGCUCUACCAGCUGCAUCCCCGACCCUUGUUUUGAUGUUUUACGAAGUAGAAAAAAAUGUGGUGUUACCAUAUUUUUGGGAUGGAUCUGACAGCUGCCAACACACAAAAAAUCUUAAAACAAGCGUCCACCUCAGUCAGUAGGCUAAAGACUAUAACCAAGUGAGGGCAUUUUAUUAAUGAAAAACUGAAAAGUCAAGCCUGUUGAGAAAAUACGUAUGGCAGUGAAUUGAGAGAGAAAAUAAGGUUGUAUAUAGUUUAGCUAACAGGAAAUGAAAAUACACUGUUGGUGACCCUUCAGGACUUUGAACUGAUGGCCAAUGAAAUUGCUGGAACCAAACUCCCCAUAUUAUUCUGCAAAUUUGUUGCAGAUGAAUAAAGUCCAAUUAAAUGCCGAGAAAAAUGUUUCUAUUUUAGAUACAUGGUUUAGAAGCAUUAAAACUUUAGGAACUUGCAAACCUACAUUUUUUCCCCCUAAGUCAUCUUUGGCCACUUGCAGGGCUUAGCCUGUGUUACCGUGUCAAGCUCUGGUAGCUUUUAGAUGCUGGCACAGACAUAAGUGAACAAUGUAGGUUGAAAUCAGACAGGAUUUGCUUGACAAGACCUAGAUCAUGUCAUGAAGCUAUAAAUGUCAGAUGGCCCCAACCCCAGUCCUGAGUGAAGUACAAAAUGUUUCGGUUGAUUCCAGCUCAGCAAAACCUGUGCACAUGAGCGGGAGUGUAGGCCCUUCCUUUCUUGAAGCUUUUUUCUUUCUUGUUUUAACAACUAUCUAAAGCAUUUCUGCUACCCUUUGAGGAUAUUAUUU